rnacentral:rRNA from 1 species
GUAAUGUCUGGGAAACUGCCUGAUGGAGGGGGAUAACUACUGGAAACGGUGGCUAAUACCGCAUAACGUCGCAAGACCAAAGAGGGGGACCUUCGGGCCUCUUGCCAUCAGAUGUGCCCAGAUGGGAUUAGCUUGUUGGUGAGGUAACGGCUCACCAAGGCGACGAUCCCUAGCUGGUCUGAGAGGAUGACCAGCCACACUGGAACUGAGACACGGUCCAGACUCCUACGGGAGGCAGCAGUGGGGAAUAUUGCACAAUGGGCGCAAGCCUGAUGCAGCCAUGCCGCGUGUAUGAAGAAGGCCUUCGGGUUGUAAAGUACUUUCAGCGGGGAG